rnacentral:rRNA from 1 species
GAGCGGCAGACGGGUGAGUAACGCGUGGGAAUCUACCGUACCCUACGGAAUAACGCAUGGAAACGUGUGCUAAUACCGUAUACGCCCUUAGGGGGAAAGAUUUAUCGGGGUAUGAUGAGCCCGCGUUGGAUUAGCUAGUUGGUGGGGUAAAGGCCUACCAAGGCGACGAUCCAUAGCUGGUCUGAGAGGAUGAUCAGCCACAUUGGGACUGAGACACGGCCCAAACUCCUACGGGAGGCAGCAGUGGGGAAUAUUGGACAAUGGGCGCAAGCCUGAUCCAGCCAUGCCGCGUGAGUGAUGAAGGUCUUAGGAUUGUAAAGCUCUUUCACCGGAGAAGAUAAUGACGGUAUCCGGAGAAGAAGCCCCGGCUAACUUCGUGCCAGCAGCCGCGGUAAU